rnacentral:rRNA from 1 species
UACGGAGGGUGCGAGCGUUAAUCGGAAUUACUGGGCGUAAAGCGCACGCAGGCGGUUAAUUAAGUUAGAUGUGAAAUCCCCGGGCUUAACCUGGGAAUGGCAUCUAAGACUGGUUAGCUAGAGUCUUGUAGAGGGGGGUAGAAUUCCAGGUGUAGCGGUGAAAUGCGUAGAGAUGGGGAGGAAUACCGGUGGCGAAGGCGACCCCUUAGGAAUGUACUGACGAUCAGGUGCGAAAGCGUGGGGAGCAAACAGG